AUUGAACGCUGGCGGCACGCCUAACACAUGCAAGUCGAGCGGCAGCGAGACUAGUAGCAAUACUAGUUGUCGGCGAGCGGCGGACGGGUGAGUAACACGUAGGAAUCUGCCCUUAAGCGGGGGAUAACCAAGGGAAACUUUGGCUAAUACCGCAUAAUCUCGAGAGAGCAAAGCUGCCCGCAAGGGUGGCACUUGAGGAGGAGCCUGCGUCCGAUUAGCUAGUUGGUGGGGUAAUGGCCUACCAAGGCGAUGAUCGGUAACUGGUCUGAGAGGACGACCAGUCACACUGGGACUGAGACACGGCCCAGACUCCCACGGGAGGCAGCAGUGGGGAAUAUUGGACAAUGGGGGCAACCCUGAUCCAGCGAUGCCGCGUGAGUGAAGAAGGCCUUCGGGUCGUAAAGCUCUUUAGGUUGGGGAGAAGGGUAUUGGCUGAAUAAUCCAGUACUUUGACGGUACCGACAGAAUAAGCACCGGCAAACUCUGUGCCAGCCGCCGCAGUAAAAC
rnacentral:rRNA from 1 species